GCAGGAUAUGAGCUCCCACCCUCUGUUGGACACAGAAAGAGGAAUGUUAAUGGUUGUGAUUCAAUGCACCUUGUGUAAUACAUGGGUGUGUCUGUUUAGCUGGGGUAAGAUCUAUUUAUCUGCUUAUUUUUCUAUCAGCUGGUCAGGCUACAAUGAUGUGAAGGAGAUGCCAGCUCAGAUGAUCCAGACGCCUUGGCUCCAACAGUAAAGUGUGUUUUGUCAAUACAGUUUGAUUUGGGAAUUUUACCAAUCCAAUUGUACCAAUCCAAGUACAGAAACCUUUCCAGGUAUUCAAGCCUCUUGAUAUGACUGAAAUAAACAAAAUCCUUAUACAAAUAUGGACUAAAAUCUGCUUAACUGGGAUAUUAAACUAUUAUAAUCUGUUAUGAUGCCUGGACUUCAAAACCAACACAGAACGAUUUCCAUUGAAGAAUGCUGUAGGUCUUCUGGACCACACUUGCCAGCCCAUGUGGA
ensembl:lncRNA